rnacentral:rRNA from 1 species
GCGUAAAGAGCUCGUAGGUGGUUUGUCGCGUUGUUCGUGAAAUCUCACGGCUUAACUGUGAGCGUGCGGGCGAUACGGGCAGACUUGAGUACUGCAGGGGAGACUGGAAUUCUUGGUGUAGCGGUGGAAUGCGCAGAUAUCAGGAGGAACACCGGUGGCGAAGGCGGGUCUCUGGGCAGUAACUGACGCUGAGGAGCGAAAGCGUGGGGAGCGAACAGGAUUAGAUACCCUGGUAGUCCACGCCGUAAACGGUGGGUACUAGGUGUGGGUUUCCUUCCUUGGGAUCCGUGCCGUAGCUAACGCAUUAAGUACCCCGCCUGGGGAGUACGGCCGCGAGGCUAAAACUCAAAGAAAUUGACGGGGGCCCGCACAAGCGGCGGAGCAUGUGGAUUAAUUCGAUGCAACGCGAAGAACCUUACCUGGGUUUGACAUGCACAGGACGCCGGCAGAGAUGUCGGUUCCCUUGUGGCCUGUGUGCAGGUGGUGCAUGGCUGUCGUCAGCUCGUGUCGUGAGAUGUUGGGUUAAGUCCCGCAACGAGCGCAACCCUUGUCUCAUGUUGCCAGCGGGUAAUGCCGGGGACUCGUGAGAGACUGCCGGGGUCAACUCGGAGGAAGGUGGGGAUGACGUCAAGUCAUCAUGCCCCUUAUGUCCAGGGCUUCACACAUGCUACAAUGGCCGGUACAAAGGGCUGCGAUGCCGCGAGGUUAAGCGAAUCCUUUUAAAGCCGGUCUCAGUUCGGAUCGGGGUCUGCAACUCGACCCCGUGAAGUCGGAGUCGCUAGUAAUCGCAGAUCAGCAACGCUGCGGUGAAUA